AGCUAAUAAAGCAGCGGUGUUUACAAUUGAUCACAACCAGUUACAGAUUCCUUUGUUCCUUCUCCACUCCCACUGCUUCACCUGACCAGCCAAAA
rnacentral:sRNA from 1 species